AUACAUGCAAGUCGAGCGGACAGAAGGGAGCUUGCUCCCGGAUGUUAGCGGCGGACGGGUGAGUAACACGUGGGUAACCUGCCUGUAAGACUGGGAUAACUCCGGGAAACCGGAGCUAAUACCGGAUAGUUCCUUGAACCGCAUGGUUCAAGGAUGAAAGACGGUUUCGGCUGUCACUUACAGAUGGACCCGCGGCGCAUUAGCUAGUUGGUGAGGUAACGGCUCACCAAGGCGACGAUGCGUAGCCGACCUGAGAGGGUGAUCGGCCACACUGGGACUGAGACACGGCCCAGACUCCUACGGGAGGCAGCAGUAGGGAAUCUUCCGCAAUGGACGAAAGUCUGACGGAGCAACGCCGCGUGAGUGAUGAAGGUUUUCGGAUCGUAAAGCUCUGUUGUUAGGGAAGAACAAGUGCAAGAGUAACUGCUUGCACCUUGACGGUACCUAACCAGAAAGCCACGGCUAACUACGUGCCAGCAGCCGCGGUAAUACGUAGGUGGCAAGCGUUGUCCGGAAUUAUUGGGCGUAAAGGGCUCGCAGGCGGUUUCUUAAGUCUGAUGUGAAAGCCCCCGGCUCAACCGGGGAGGGUCAUUGGAAACUGGGAAACUUGAGUGCAGAAGAGGAGAGUGGAAUUCCACGUGUAGCGGUGAAAUGCGUAGAGAUGUGGAGGAACACCAGUGGCGAAGGCGACUCUCUGGUCUGUAACUGACGCUGAAGAGCGAAA
rnacentral:rRNA from 1 species